CACCGCCGCGGUAAAACAGAGGGUGCGAGCGUUAAUCGGAUUUACUGGGCGUAAAGCGUGCGUAGGCGGCUUCUUAAGUCGGAUGUGAAAUCCCUGAGCUUAACUUAGGAAUUGCAUUCGAUACUGGGAAGCUAGAGUAUGGGAGAGGAUGGUAGAAUUCCAGGUGUAGCGGUGAAAUGCGUAGAGAUCUGGAGGAAUACCGAUGGCGAAGGCAGCCAUCUGGCCUAAUACUGACGCUGAGGUACGAAAGCAUGGGGAGCAAACAGGAUUAGAUACCCGUGUAGUCCCUGUCUCUUAUACA
rnacentral:rRNA from 1 species